rnacentral:rRNA from 1 species
GACGAACGCUGGCGGCGUGCUUAACACAUGCAAGUCGAACGGAAAGGCCCUGCUUUUGUGGGGUGCUCGAGUGGCGAACGGGUGAGUAACACGUGAGUAACCUGCCCUUGACUUUGGGAUAACUUCAGGAAACUGGGGCUAAUACCGGAUAGGAGCUCCUGCUGCAUGGUGGGGGUUGGAAAGUUUCGGCGGUUGGGGAUGGACUCGCGGCUUAUCAGCUUGUUGGUGGGGUAGUGGCUUACCAAGGCUUUGACGGGUAGCCGGCCUGAGAGGGUGACCGGCCACAUGGGAAUGGAGAAACGGCCCAGCUCCUUACGGGAGGAAGAGGUGGGGAAUAUGGAAAAAUGGGCGGAGGCUUGAGGCAGCAAGCCGGGGUGGGGGAGGAGGGCUUUCGGGUUGUAACCCGCUUCCGCCUGGGCGGAAGGGUGAGUGAGGGUAAGGGGUAAAGAACAACGGGCUAAUUACGU